rnacentral:rRNA from 1 species
GACGAACGCUGGCGGCGUGCUUAACACAUGCAAGUCGAACGGAAAGGCCCUGCUUUUGUGGGGUGCUCGAGUGGCGAACAGGUGAGUAACACGUGAGUAACCUGCCCUUGACUUUGGGAUAACUUCAGGAAACUGGGGCUAAUACCGGAUAGGAGCUCCUGCUGCAUGGUGGGGGUUGGAAAGUUUCGGCGGUUGGGGAUGGACUCGCGGCUUAUCAGCUUGUUGGUGGGGUAGUGGCUUACCAAGGCUUUGACGGGUAGCCGGCCUGAGAGGGUGACCGGCCACAUUGGGACUGAGAUACGGCCCAGACUCCUACGGGAGGCAGCAGUGGGGAAUAUUGCACAAUGGGCGGAAGCCUGAUGCAGCAACGCCGCGUGCGGGAUGACGGCCUUCGGGUUGUAAACCGCUUUCGCCUGUGACGAAGCGUGAGUGACGGUAAUGGGUAAAGAAGCACCGGCUAACUACGUGCCAGCAGCCGCGGUGAUACGUAGGGUGCGAGCGUUGUCCGGAUUUAUUGGGCGUAAAGGGCUCGUAGGUGGUUGAUCGCGUCGGAAGUGUAAUCUUGGGGCUUAACCCUGAGCGUGCUUUCGAUACGGGUUGACUUGAGGAAGGUAGGGGAGAAUGGAAUUCCUGGUGGAGCGGUGGAAUGCGCAGAUAUCAGGAGGAACACCAGUGGCGAAGGCGGUUCUCUGGGCCUUUCCUGACGCUGAGGAGCGAAAGCGUGGGGAGCGAACAGGCUUAGAUACCCUGGUAGUCCACGCUGUAAACGGUGGGUACUAGGUGUGGGGUCCAUUCCACGGGUUCCGUGCCGUAGCUAACGCUUUAAGUACCCCGCCUGGGGAGUACGGCCGCAAGGCUAAAACUCAAAGGAAUUGACGGGGCCCCGCACAAGCGGCGGAGCAUGCGGAUUAAUUCGAUGCAACGCGUAGAACCUUACCUGGGUUUGACAUGGAUCGGGAGUGCUCAGAGAUGGGUGUGCCUCUUUUGGGGUCGGUUCACAGGUGGUGCAUGGCUGUCGUCAGCUCGUGUCGUGAGAUGUUGGGUUAAGUCCCGCAACGAGCGCAACCCUUGUUCACUGUUGCCAGCACGUUAUGGUGGGGACUCAGUGGAGACCGCCGGGGUCAACUCGGAGGAAGGUGGGGAUGACGUCAAGUCGUCAUGCCCCUUAUGUCCAGGGCUUCACGCAUGCUACAAUGGCUGGUACAGAGAGUGGCGAGCCUGUGAGGGUGAGCGAAUCUCGGAAAGCCGGUCUCAGUUCGGAUUGGGGUCUGCAACUCGACCUCAUGAAGUCGGAGUCGCUAGUAAUCGCAGAUCAGCAACGCUGCGGUGAAUACGUUCCCGGGGCU